rfam:Glycine soja cultivar W05 scaffold599_46, whole genome shotgun sequence.
UUGUUAUUGGAUGAUGAUUGUCACGUGUCAUGAUCUGAUUGACGAAGAUGAAAUGCAUUGUUCUUCGCCAAUUAGAUCAUGACACAUGACAGUCAUCAUCC